AUUGAACGCUGGCGGCAGGCCUAACACAUGCAAGUCGAGCGAGCGGCGGACGGGUGAGUAAUGUAUAGGGACUGCUCGAUAGAGGUGGAUAACUGCUGGAAACGGUAGCUCAUACCGCAUACUAUCGGAUAACCCCUAGGUGAUUAGCUAGUAGGUGAGGUAAUGGCCUACCUAGGCGACGAUCCCUAGCUGGUCUGAGAGGAGGAUCAGCCACACUGGGACUGAGACACGGCCCAGACUCCUACGGAGGCAGCAGUGGGGAAUAUUGCACAAUGGGCGCAAGCCUGAUGCAGCCAUGCCGCGUGUAUGAAGAAGGCCUUAGGGUUGUAAAGUACUUUCAGUCGGGAGGCGUUACCGACAGAAGAAGCACCGGCUAACUCCGUGCCAGCAGCCGCGGUAAUUC
rnacentral:rRNA from 1 species